rnacentral:rRNA from 1 species
AGUGAACGCUAGCGGGAUGCUUUACACAUGCAAGUCGAACGGCAGCGCGGUCUUCGGUCUGGCGGCGAGUGGCGAACGGGUGGGUAAUGUAUCGGAACGUGCCCAGUAGCGGGGGAUAACUACGCGAAAGCGUAGCUAAUACCGCAUACGCCCUACGGGGGUAAGCAUGGAAUCGUAAGACCUUGCACCAUUGGACCGGUCGAUAUCGGAUUAGCUAGUUGGUGAGGUAACGGCGCACCAAGGCGACGAUCCGUAGCUGGUUUGAGAGGACGAGCAGCCACACUGGGACUGAGACACGGCCCAGACUCCUACGGGAGGCAGCAGUGGGGAAUUUUGGACAAUGGGGGCAACCCUGAUCCAGCCAUCCCGCGUGUGCGAUGAAGGCCUUCGGGUUGUAAAGCACUUUUGGCAGGAAAGAAACGUCGCGGGCUAAUACCCCGUGGAACUGACGGUACCUGCAGAAUAAGCACCGGCUAACUACGUG